rnacentral:rRNA from 1 species
AGUGAACGCUGGCGGUGUGCCUAAUACAUGCAAGUCGAAGGUAGUGGCGCACGGGUGAGUAAUAAAUAGCUAAUCUGCCCCUUGCUGGAGGACAAAAGUUAGAACUGACUGCUAAUACCCCAUAUCAAGGUAUGAGACUAUAUCUUAUCAACUAGUCGGUGGGGUAACGGCCUACCGAGGCUAUGAUGCGUAACUGGUAUGAGAGGAUGAUCAGUAACAUUUGAACUGAGACACGGGUAAAACUCCUACGGGAGGCAGCAGUAGGGAAUAUUGCGCAAUGGGCGAAACCCUGACGCAGCAACGCCGCGUGGAGGAUGACACUUUUCGGAGCGUAAACUCCUUUUGUUAGGAAAGCGGUACCUAACGAAUAAGCACCGGCUAACUCCGUGCCAGCAGCCGCGGUAAUAC